rnacentral:rRNA from 1 species
AAGUAUAGUACCGAAGCUAAGGCAGUAGUUUACUACUGGGUAGGGGAGCAUUCUAUUCUGCGAAGAAGACGUCUGGUGAUGGAUGUUGGAGCGUAUAGAAAAGCAAAUGUAGGCAUAAGUAACGAUAAGGCGGGUGAGAAACCCGCCCACCGAUAGACUAAGGUUUCCUGAUCAACGCUAAUCGGAUCAGGGUUAGUCGGGACCUAAGGCGAAGCCGAAUGGUGUAGUCGAUGGACAAUGGGUUAAUAUUCCCAUACUUGUUGUAACUGCGAUGGGGUGACGGAGUAAUGAACAGACCGCGUACUGACGGAAUAGUACGUUAAAGGGUGUAGGUAUUGGUUGAGUAGGCAAAUCCGCUCGACUAGCUGAACCUGAUAGUACCACAAUGCUUCGGCAGCGUGGAUAGUGGACCUAAUCAGACUUCCAAGAAAAACCUCUAAGUAAUGUAUAUGGUACCCGUACCGCAAACCGACACAGGUAGUCAAGGAGAGAAUCCUAAGGUGCUCGAGUGAUUCAUGGCUAAGGAACUAGGCAAAAUGGUCUCGUAACUUCGGGAGAAGAGACGCCAACAGUAAUGUUGGCCGCAGUGAAUAGGCCCAGGCGACUGUUUAUCAAAAACACAUGGCUUUGCAAAAACGAAAGUUGACGUAUAAGGCCUGACACCUGCCCGGUGCUGGAAGGUUAAGAGGAGAUGUUAGAUUCGUCUAAGCAUUGAAUUGAAGCCCC